GGCCAGGCCCUGCGCAGUGGCAGCUUGCCAAACCGGUCAGGACCGGGAGGUAGCAGCCGUACGCGAUCACUGCCAUGUGCCGCAGAUCGCCUGGCCCUG
rnacentral:SRP_RNA from 1 species